rnacentral:rRNA from 1 species
GAUGAACGCUGGCGGCGUGCCUAAUACAUGCAAGUCUAUCGAACAUACGAGGUUCUUGCUCCUUCGCCGUUAGCGGCGGACGGUUGAGUAAAACGUAGGUAACCUACCUAUAAGACUGAGAUACCUUCGCGACACCUGAGCUAAUACCCGAUAAUCUUUCGAACCGCAUGGUUCGAUAGUAAAAGAUGGCUUUGCUAUCACUUAUAUCUUGACCUGCGCCGUAUUAGCUAGUUGGUAAGGUAACGGCUUACCAAGGCAACGAUACGUAGCCGACCUGAGAGGGUGAGCGGCCACACUGGAACUGAGACACGGUCAAGAGGGCAACGGGAGGCAGCAGUAGGGAAUAUGCGGCAAAGGGCGAAAGAAUGACGGAGCAAGGGGGCGUGAGUGAUGAAGGUAUUCGGAGCGUAAAAAGCUGUUAUUAGGGAAGAAAAAAGGUGUAAGUAACUGUGAACGAAGUGACGGUACCUAAUCAGAAAGCCACGGCUAACUACGUG